rnacentral:rRNA from 1 species
UACGGAGGGUGCAAGCGUUAAUCGGAAUUACUGGGCGUAAAGCGUGCGCAGGCGGUUUGUUAAGUCUGCUGUGAAAUCCCCGAGCUCAACUUGGGAAUUGCAGUGGAUACUGGCAGGCUGGAGUAUGGUAGAGGAAGGUGGAAUUCCCGGUGUAGCAGUGAAAUGCGUAGAGAUCGGGAGGAACACCAGUGGCGAAGGCGGCCUUCUGGACCAAUACUGACGCUCAGGCGCGACAGCGUGGGGAUCAAACAGG